rnacentral:lncRNA from 1 species
CUAGAGAGUUUUCUUUUCCUUCAAUGUCUUUUGCUGUUUCAGAUACAGGCAGCGACAAAGCUCCCAGAAGGUUUCUGUCAACAGGCAUAGAGACAGGGCGUGCUUGCAAACUGCGUGUGGUCCUCCUCAGCACGCCAUCUUGAUCUCUUGUGGCCUCGGACACAGAAUCCUUUAUCUCCACCAUUUCUUGGAAGCCCAUUUUGCUCUUUUUCCUGCCUUUGGCUGGGGCGCUAGCUGUGCGUCGCAGAAUUCUAUCUCCAAUGGAUCGCUUCCGUACAUAAUGGGAAUUGUUUUCUGAAGAACUGUGCCUAGGAUUCUUAUUGAACAGUCCCUUCAGACCCUGGAGUUGUCUGUUCUGAAGACACAAAAGAACCAACCACAAGUUAAGCAAAUGCCAUCACGUCAACAACUUGCCUUGAAAAUGACAGCUCCAUGAAAAAUGAAUAUAAACCAAAAUCGUACAGCCAUUGAAAUAUAUUCAAACCAAGAAAGCAGCAGCUCACAGCAUGUUUGCACAACUUCAUGCACAUCUUAUCAACCUUACUUUGCAAGGACUUCAGCCUUCCAUUCUUACAUCAAGCUUUCCCAGAAGUUUCCUACCCAGAGAUGACAAAGUGGUAGGAAAAGUCUCCACAGCUCAUAGACUGCUAUGAACUUCAGGCACCUUAAAGCAACAGAUGCAUGUUUCAAAGUGUGAGAGGCAAGACCCCAACAAGCAGCACAAACAGAAAUCCAGGUCUAAACACAGGAAGUUAUGGUAUAAAACUUCACCAGUCUUAGAAAUUAGGAUCCUUACCCCCACCUCCACACCCUUGCUGACAGAUAUGAAAAUAAACAUUACACUCCCUAAUUCAUGCUGAAAUGGUCCAUUCCUUAUUAGUUGGGUUGUAGUCAUAAUAACAUUAAUAUUAGCCAACAUUUCUGAGCAUUUACUAUGUACCAG